UACGGGGGGGGGCAAGCGUUGUUCGGAAUUACUGGGCGUAAAGGGCGCGUAGGCGGUUCGCUAAGUUGGAUGUGAAACUCUGGGCUCAACCCAGAGCCUGCAUCCAAAACUGGCGGGCUAGAGUUCUGGAGGGGGUAGCGGAAUUCCUGGUGUAGCGGUGAAAUGCGUAGAUAUCAGGAGGAACACCGGUGGCGAAGGCGGCUACCUGGACAGAAACUGACGCUGAGGCGCGAAAGCUAGGGGAGCAAACAGG
rnacentral:rRNA from 1 species